GUGCAAGUGAUGGAAAAUUACUUCAACUGACUACAGUGAUGUUCUCAAAGGAACCACUGCUGCAC
ensembl:snoRNA SNORD42 Small nucleolar RNA SNORD42